rnacentral:tRNA from 1 species
GCCAAGGCUGGGCAUGAGUGAGCCUAACGGUCUGUAAAACCGCCAUUAAUUUUGUGAAGGUGCAAAUUCCUUCCCUUGGCACCA